rnacentral:rRNA from 1 species
UACAGAGGGGGCGAGCGUUGUUCGGAAUUACUGGGCGUAAAGGGCUCGUAGGUGGCCAACUAAGUCAGACGUGAAAUCCCUCGGCUUAACCGGGGAACUGCGUCUGAUACUGGAUGGCUUGAGUUCGGGAGAGGGAUGCGGAAUUCCAGGUGUAGCGGUGAAAUGCGUAGAUAUCUGGAGGAACACCGGUGGCGAAGGCGGCAUCCUGGGCAGUAACUGACGCUGAGGAGCGAAAGCGUGGGGAGCGAACAGG